GCGGACGGCUCAGUAACACGUAGUCAACCUAACUCGUGGACGUGGAUAACCUCGGGAAACUGAGAAUAAACCACGAUAGAUCAUAGUGCCUGGAAUGGCUUAUGGUCCAAACAGUUUACUGCCAUGGGAUGGGACUGCGGCCUAUCAGCUUGUUGGUGAGGUAAUGGCCCACCAAGGCGAUUACAGGUACGGGCUCUGAGAGGAGAAGCCCGGAGAUGGGUACUGAGACACGGACCCAGGCCCUAUGGGGCGCAGCAGGCGAGAAACCUUAGCAAUGUGCGAAAGCACGACUGGGUCAGUCCGAGUGAUUCCUGAUAAAGGAGUCUUUUGCUUGUCCUAAAAACACAGGUGAAUAAGGGGUGGGCAAGUCUGGUGUCAGCCGCCGCGGUAAUACCAGCACCUCGAGUGGUCAGGACGUUUAUUGGGCCUAAAGCAUCCGUAGCCGGCUUUGCAAGUCUUCGGUUAAAUCCACCUGCUCAACAGAUGGGCCGCUGGAGAUACUACAGAGCUAGGGAGUGGGAGAGGCAGACGGUAUUCAGUGGGUAGGGGUAAAAUCCUCUGAUCCAUUGAGGACCACCAGUGGCGAAGGCGGUCUGCCAGAACACGUUCGACGGUGAGGGAUGAAAGCUGGGGGAGCAAACCGGAUUAGAUACCCGGGUAGUCCCAGCUGUAAACGAUGCAAACUCGGUGAUGCAUUGGCUUAUGGCCA
rnacentral:rRNA from 1 species